UGACGGGAGCACGGGGCCCAACGGAGCUCUGCUGCGCUCGCCGGGCCGGCAACGUGGGCCUCCUCCUGAUGUAACCCACUAACAGGACAGACCCCAAUGCCUGAAGGAGUUCUGGAUGACAUACCCUCACCUGUAUUUACCCCCAGCCUGAGCCUGGGAAAGGGCACCUGGAGUGUCGAGAGCUGUUAGCUGAUGACUCAGUGGGGAGCAGAUGUCACCCACAUCACCCCUGCAAAGGAACAGCUGCACAGCAGCUACCCGGCACCUUGGAGGUCUUGGCCCUGCCCACUGGUUGUUUUGCGCUUCUGGGGUGCCUUAUCUGCCCCUGGGGCACUUUCCCUUCUCCUGACCCCCUCUGCAUCAUCACUGAAUCCUCCGCUGCCUUCAUGCCCAUCCACAGGGCUAGCUCAGAGAGCGGCACCUCUGAGGUAACUUCCUCCCUUCCCCUCCCUUCCCCUCCCACCUGACAGGCAGAGCAGGAGAUUUCUCUUAGGCCUGCUGCUUUAGGUGGGAAGACAAGGGGGUCAGGGGCUCUGCUGUGACCACACUGCACACUUGUCUGCAGGCCCGCAGAGAACUCUGUCAAGAGAUGAGUCCCUGCAUGGGUGGAGGACAAGUUCAUGAGGGCAAGGCCCAUGGGACGACAUACUUCUUGUACUUUGAGCUUGGCCAACUUUGCGGAGGACAGUGCCAGGGCGGGCCCCACCUACUCUAGGUCCAAUCUUCCUCAGAUCUUACCUUCUCUAAGCCCCACCAUCCCAGGCCCCGUCUGCCAAGAGGACACUCACUCUAGUCCCAGGGUUCUCUGGGGAGCCCACAAUGCCCCCUCCCCUGCCUUGGUCCCAUUGUCCUUUCCAGAACAGAUGGAUUUGGAGCAAGGUAUGGUGCGGAGAUGAUCUCUGCAGAGAGACCCUGAGACUCCCAAACCACAGGACCUGAGCAGUUCAGCCAGACAGGACCCUUUCUCUCUGUCCACGAAUUGCCAUGUUAGAGCCUCUGGGUGUGUGACCUUAUUCAGACAAAGGGUCCCACAGAAGUGAUAUGGUCAAGUGACCAGAGGUGAGAGUGUGAUAGUUAUGCAAAUGGACACAAAUCUGAGACAGGUGGCCUUAUGAGAUCCACAAAAGGAAUGGUAACCCUGGGAAGAUGGAGGUGUAAGUCAGCAACACAGCCACCAUCCAAGAAUGGAACUCAGAAACACAGAAGGUCGUCCCUUGGGUCCACCGGAAACAGCACACCCCUCCCUGAGCCACCUUCAGGCCCCCAGCCUCCAGGGUUUUAAAAGAACAUGGUGGGCCCAUGCCAGCAGACUGCAGUGAUGAGUCAGGAUAGCUCCAACACACACACACACACACACACACACACACACAGAUAUGUCAGUACCUGAGUACAGUCUGCACACUCACACACUCACAUACACACACACACACACACACACACACACACACAGAGGGUGGGUGACACAAACCCCGCCUCUGGACCUCAGGGCUGGAAAAUGGUGUUGAUAAAUAGAAGA